rnacentral:rRNA from 1 species
CCUACGGGAGGCAGCAGUGGGGAAUAUUGGACAAUGGGGGGAACCCUGAUCCAGACAUGCCGCGUGUGUGAAGAAGGCCCUCGGGUUGUAAAGCACUUUCAGUGAGGAAGAACGCCUGGUGGUUAAUACCCAUCAGGAAAGACAUCACUCACAGAAGAAGCACCGGCUAACUCCGUGCCAGCAGCCGCGGUAAUACGGAGGGUGCGAGCGUUAAUCGGAAUUACUGGGCGUAAAGCGCGCGUAGGUGGCUUGAUAAGCCGGUUGUGAAAGCCCCGGGCUCAACCUGGGAACGGCAUCCGGAACUGUCAAGCUAGAGUGCAGGAGAGGAAGGUAGAAUUCCCGGUGUAGCGGUGAAAUGCGUAGAGAUCGGGAGGAAUACCAGUGGCGAAGGCGGCCUUCUGGACUGACACUGACACUGAGGUGCGAAAGCGUGGGUAGCAAACAGGAUUAGAUACCCCUGUAGUC